UACGUAGGGUGCAAGCGUUAAUCGGAAUUACUGGGCGUAAAGCGUGCGCAGGCGGUUUCGCAAGUCAGAUGUGAAAUCCCCGGGCUUAACCUGGGAACUGCAUUUGAAACUACGAGGCUAGAGUGUGUCAGAGGGGGGUAGAAUUCCACGUGUAGCAGUGAAAUGCGUAGAGAUGUGGAGGAAUACCGAUGGCGAAGGCAGCCCCCUGGGAUAACACUGACGCUCAUGCACGAAAGCGUGGGGAGCAAACAGG
rnacentral:rRNA from 1 species